rnacentral:rRNA from 1 species
AAAUUGAAGAGUUUGAUCAUGGCUCAGAUUGAACGCUGGCGGCAGGCCUAACACAUGCAAGUCGAGCGGUAGCACAGAGAGCUUGCUCUCGGGUGACGAGCGGCGGACGGGUGAGUAAUGUCUGGGAAACUGCCUGAUGGAGGGGGAUAACUACUGGAAACGGUAGCUAAUACCGCAUAAUGUCGCAAGACCAAAGUGGGGGACCUUCGGGCCUCAUGCCAUCAGAUGUGCCCAGAUGGGAUUAGCUAGUAGGUGGGGUAACGGCUCACCUAGGCGACGAUCCCUAGCUGGUCUGAGAGGAUGACCAGCCACACUGGAACUGAGACACGGUCCAGACUCCUACGGGAGGCAGCAGUGGGGAAUAUUGCACAAUGGGCGCAAGCCUGAUGCAGCCAUGCCGCGUGUGUGAAGAAGGCCUUCGGGUUGUAAAGCACUUUCAGCGG